rnacentral:rRNA from 1 species
GCAGAGCAUCCUACGGGAGGCAGCAGUGGGGAAUAUUGCACAAUGGGCGCAAGCCUGAUGCAGCCAUGCCGCGUGUAUGAAGAAGGCCUUCGGGUUGUAAAGUACUUUCAGCAGUGAGGAAGGUGGGUAUGUUAAUAGCAUACUCAUUUGACGUUAGCUGCAGAAGAAGCACCGGCUAACUCCGUGCCAGCAGCCGCGGUAAUACGGAGGGUGCGAGCGUUAAUCGGAAUUACUGGGCGUAAAGCGCAUGCAGGUGGUUUGUUAAGUCAGAUGUGAAAGCCCGGGGCUCAACCUCGGAAUUGCAUUUGAAACUGGCAAACUAGAGUACUGUAGAGGGGGUAGAAUUUCAGGUGUAGCGGUGAAAUGCGUAGAGAUCUGAAGGAAUACCGGUGGCGAAGGCGGCCCCCUGGACAGAUACUGACACUCAGAUGCGAAAGCGUGGGGAGCAAACAGGAUUAGAUACCCUGUAG